rnacentral:rRNA from 1 species
GAUGAACGCUAGCGGGAGGCCUAACACAUGCAAGCCGAGCGGUAUUGUUUCUUCGGACAUGAGAGAGCGGCGUACGGGUGCGUAACACGUGUGCAACCUGCCUUUAUCUGGGGGAUAGCCUUUCGAAAGGAAGAUUAAUACUCCAUAAUAUAUUGAACGGCAUCGUUUAAUAUUGAAAGCUCCGGCGGAUAGAGAUGGGCACGCGCAAGAUUAGCUAGUUGGUGAGGUAACGGCUCACCAAGGCGAUGAUCUUUAGGGGGCCUGAGAGGGUGAUCCCCCACACUGGUACUGAGACACGGACCAGACUCCUACGGGAGGCAGCAGUGAGGAAUAUUGGUCAAUGGGUGCAAGCCUGAACCAGCCAUCCCGCGUGAAGGACGACUGCCCUAUGGGUUGUAAACUUCUUUUGUAUAGGGAUAAACCUACCCUCGAGAGGGUAGCUGAAGGUACUAUACGAAUAAGCACCGGCUAACUCCGUG